CUAUUCAUUCUUGUCACGCUCGUUUUCACAUUUUUCUGAUUUCAUACUAAUCAUUGACUAGUUCAUGAAAUGUCUCCAUAAAGUGGCUUUUGCUCUCACUCUUUUCAUAAGCCCUAACGUAAUCCUCUCUCCUUACACACAUGCACAUCUAUGUAUAUAUACACAAAACUUUGCCUGCGGUCAUAGCUCGGAGGCUGACGGGCUUCUCAUUGCCCCCGCCUCCAUCAGAUUCUGUACGGAAUGCACACCUGGUAUUUUUUUGUAUAAUUCGAGAAAGUUCAGAGAAGAAUUUGUCAAUCCCAACGAGAGAAAUUAAAGUACAGAAGCUCGUCCUCAACAUCUCAGUCGGUGAUAAUGGAGCUCGUCUUACCUGAGCCACUAAAGUGUCUUAAAGCAGCUUAGUGGCCAAAUUCCUAUUUUCUCUAAGGCAAGAUACAUUUUGAGGUCCUUUGGGAUCAAGCGUAACAUAAAACAGUGAGUCUUUUGUUCAGUCAUAUGAUAUUCUUUUAUUGAAGUUAUUACCGUAUUUCUUGCAAACGAACCAGAAAAUCCCAUAGAAGAGAGAUCCUAUAGUUCAAUUCUUAUGGAGAGAUUGCCUAGAAGCGAAGAUGAGCAAAUUGAUCAUGUUUUACAAAUAGGACAAGACUUCGUCAUCCAUACUUAACGGUAAUUCCAUCACAUAAGUGCCAAUUUUCUAAUGUGAAUAUACUUGUCUUGUUUUUGUUAUCUUGAAAGAAAAUGUACCUUUAAUGUGUAGUAUGGCCAAAAAUAAAUAUAAAAAAAUAAAAAAUAGAAAUUUAUUUUGAUAAUCACAUAUAUUUUUACAGAAACUACUAAAGAGAUCAUGUUAUUGAUCUCUUUAUAUUCAAAUACUUAUAUCGAGAAAUACCAUAGUAACCCUCGCACCAAAAGAGCAUCUAGAAGGCAGCUCAAAAGAAGGAAAUAAUCUGGAAAGCUGGUCCAAUCCACUUGAGUAGGCGGUAGGAGAAGCUGCUGAGAAGUAGAUCAAGUAUCUUAAAGAGAAAUUACUCAUAGUUGCUUAUAAGUGUAGUACUCAGGAACAGGAAUCUAACCUCUGGUGGAAAGAAAGUUAAAUCUAGAAAAGCAAACAAUAUUCUCCAAACAAGUGAUUGCCUUGGAGCUGAAAGUAAAUUUAGCUAUGAAAUUAGGAGAACUCUGUCUCUGAAAAUAAUCCAGUCAAUUAUUUGUAUUGUCGAGUAGCUUCAGCUAUGAAAAUAAGAGAACUCUAUUUUCACUCUAAAUAUAUAGUUUUUGAAGGCUAUAAAUGAUGGUAGAUGUCAUACAACGAGUUAAAUAUUUUGUGGGAAGUAAUGGGCCACACAUACUGAAAAAGGACCAAAUAAGAUAGUGCCAGACUUGCCAAUUGAACAAAGUAAAUUUUACUUUGAUCUAGCAUGAGAAAAGAGGCAAUGAAUGUAUUAUCUAAACAAGCUGAAACAAACUAAUAUAGCAUCAAAAGAUUUCCUCUUUGUUUCUGGCAUCAAGGCAUUGUUGUGCAUUUUUUUCUGUGUGUUUAUAUAUAUAUAUAUAUUCAAUGAAGGUUUAUUUCGUCAACACAUAAUGAAUAAGUUGCUGUGAUCUUAUUAUGCUGGUUUUAUAACUUUCAUUGUGGUGGAAGGCUACAGGUUGGGGGUUCUAA